AUUUAAAUAGCUUAAAAUGUAGAGCAUAACGUUGAAGAUGUUAAAGUGAUAAUUGUAUCUUUAAAUG
rnacentral:tRNA from 1 species